UCCGUAGGCGGAAAAUUAAGUCAGUGGUGAAAUCCUGCAGCUUAACUGUAGAACUGUCAUUGAUACUGGUUUUCUUGAAUUUAGUUGAGGUAGGCGGAAUGUGUAAUGUAGCGGUGAAAUGCUUAGAUAUUACACAGAACACCGAUUGCGAAGGCAGCUUACUAAGCUAUGAUUGACGCUGAGGUACGAAAGCGUGGGGAGCGAACAGGAUUAGAUACCCUGGUAGUCC
rnacentral:rRNA from 1 species